AAUACACGCAACGCGUGUUUACAAAAAAGCACAAUCGUGUAAAUAUUGCAAAAUGUUUGUACAAAAUAAAUGACUGUUUCAUGUUGAAAGAGUGGACAUGAUCUAAAUUAAUCAUACAGAACUUUUUAGUGACGUUCUAUUUCAGUACCCUGCCAUUGUUUCUGGUGGGCUGUCCGUGUGCAUUCGAUCUGAAACAGUUGCUACUUUGCUGUCGAAGAAUUUCGAAUGUUUACAUGAAAAUAGAGGCAAGUCAUGCAUUUUACAACCUCUUAAACUGUAUGAGCCCCUAUUUUUACGCUUAUACCUAAGAUAUCAAAUAAAAGUACAUGAAACAGAGAACAUUUGUAGAAAGUUUUAUCGUGAGGCCACGGCCAGUUUUUAAAAUAUCUUUAUUUCUGUUCCGGUCAUCACCAAAAUUACACAAAAGCCGGACUUGAACAUACAACAAAUUUUGAAUCGCAUCAAGCACAAAAAUACUUAACGUGUAACCAAAAUAUGCUCAUGAAAUCGAAAUUAAUAGCUAAAUUUUCAAACUAGACCCUUAUCGAAGCGGUUUUCAUGAAGGAAGUUCACAUUUCGGCCUUUGAUUCUUGGCAAAAAUUUGACCACAACACGUGCGAAGCAACUGGGUCUCAAAGACUGAACUAAAACAUUGUGAGCCCCUAUUUUCCUGACGAUAUGUUUGAUACCUACAAACGCCGAAAACUUUUUUCUUUUCAUUUAGCUAUAUUUGAAAUUGAGGCCACGGG